rnacentral:rRNA from 1 species
GCUCAGAUUGAACGCUGGCGGCAGGCCUAACACAUGCAAGUCGAGCGGUAACAGGGGUAGCUUGCUACCCGCUGACGAGCGGCGGACGGGUGAGUAAUGCAUAGGAAUCUGCCCGAUAGUGGGGGAUAACCUGGGGAAACCCAGGCUAAUACCGCAUACGUCCUACGGGAGAAAGGGGGCUUCGGCUCGCGCUAUCGGAUGAGCCUAUGUCGGAUUAGCUGGUUGGUGAGGUAAUGGCUCACCAAGGCGACGAUCCGUAGCUGGUCUGAGAGGAUGAUCAGCCACAUCGGGACUGAGACACGGCCCGAACUCCUACGGGAGGCAGCAGUA